AGAGUUUUGAAAAAUUUUCAAUUUUUCACCAAAGGAAAUGUAGUUGUUGCUGCUGCUGGCGCUUGUGCACACGACACACAAGAAGGCACAUUCGAGCACUCUCGUAAGCGGAAAAUGGAAAAUCUGGGAAAAUUCUCUUUCUUCCCACACUGCACUACACACGACACGAUCUGGCGAUACCAUGGAGCAUAAGUUGGUGUAUCCAUGGGAUCGCGGCUAAAACGAUGAUCGGCGUCUGGCCUUUUUGCUUAUCGCACCCCAGCGGUAUUUUCGUAUUUCCCAUUAUAUUCCCUAAUUGAUCUCCAGCCCAUACAUUACGGAUUAUAGUAUUAAUAUGUGGAAUUUAUUUUGGCAUUCCGCAGUUUCUCGAUUUGCCUGGCAUUACAGCAUUUGGCACACAGACAACAUUGAAAAAUGUUUACUGAAAUGAGAUGAACCAACAGGUGUGCCGGCGAAUCGGAAAAAUAAUUCCCAUUUAAUCAAAACUAAUUUCCAUCAGACAAAUUGACGCGACACCUAAGGGCAGCCGGCCAAGGUAAAUUGGCGAGAACCAAACAAGAAUGGCAGAAUGUUCUGGUGACAGUUCAGUGGUAGAAAGCAAUUAACAAGGCCCCUAAACGGCGUUCUAGGCCGAACAAGAGAAACCCGACAGAUCAACAUGAAUAAUAAACAAAAUCAACAACCCGUGAAAUGCUCUGGCUAGAGGGCAGCCACCACAAAAAGUAUAUGCAUAUUGUUUAAGAACCAAAAUGUUGAUGUAAGCCGAUUCACUGCUGCGAUGGGGAUUUAUGGCUUUAAUAAUAAUGAACCAGGGACGUGGACUGCCAAGCCUUAAGGGGGUUUAAUGUGCAUACAUAUCAAGGGAAUAUUCACCAUACCGAAAAUCAAAUUAGAAAAUAAAUCUUCUUUAUAAUAAUUUAUCUUUGUUUAAACUUGGGUUUGUUUGCUUUUCACAAUGUUACGUAAGGCCAUGUAAUGCGAAUUUAUGGUUUCAAUAAACAUUUGUAGAUUGUUUUGCCUUA